rnacentral:lncRNA from 1 species
CAUUCUGCCUUUUCUAUUUUACCCAGAGAUCAAAUGUGGUAUCUUGCAACACUGUCACAGAGCCACAUGGAUAGGUGUUCCUCCCGACAGCUGCUCCUGUUGGAGGUAGCAGCUCCCAUGUAGCUGCUUCUGCACGUGGAAACUGCAGUGACAGACAACAAAACCAGGAUGACUUUUAGGCCCAGUAUUUUUAUUGCUGGGCUGGCAGCUGUAACUGCUCCCAGAGUCUGGCUUGCAGGAGAUGUCCUGGAAGCUCUUUGUGCAAUGCACGGAAUAACACAAGCGAGCAAGGCAAAACCAAAAGCAGGAUGCAGCAGUACUGAUGCCACUGAAAGCUUACACAGAGGUGAGAGUCAUUACGGCUUGUGGUCAAAGUUGUUUAUUUUUUUCUUGUCACAGGAUGUCAGACAAUACGAGGCCUUUUAGCAGCAUUUCAGACUUUUUGCUUUCCUUUCGAGUCAACAGAAACUCAGCUGCCUGAAGGUGGGUGAGGCCAAACAGCAGCACAAACCUUCCUCUGGAGGAAGGGACCCGAUCCCACUAACCUGCUCCACUGAGGUGCUGUGCAGCUUCAAUGCCAAGACACUGAUUUGAUAACUGUGGUUUCUUCUUACUGACCUGGCUGGGAAAAGCUGCCUUGUUGCUCAACAGCACUUUGUCUUCAUGAUUUAUAUGUUGCUUGACACAGCUAAGCAUGAUGCUGCAGUGUGAGAACUGCUUGCUGGCCGGCCGGCUGCAUGAGCUUCUCCACAGAAAGGUCUGUGCUGCGAACUGCUUUACUACCAACUGGGGCUUCUGCAAGAAAAGAAUGCAUCAGAAACACAAGAAUGUGUACGUUUGUUGUCAUGUUCCAUUCAAAAUAUGUAAAAGGAAAAAAAACUGUAAUUAACGUUGCAUUUAAGCCUGCUUGACUGUACUAAGCAUGACCUACAAGCCCAAGGAAUGCUACUGAGAUUUCCCUGAAAAAUGUUGAAACCGUUUAUUUGCCUGCUGAAUGGACUGAUUUUGAGAUAUGAGCAUGCUUUCCAUCGAAGAACAUCCUGAAAUUAAUUUCAGUUAAUGCCAUUUAUAUUACUCACUCUUCCCUGUUGAACUGGGCGUCCUGGAUUUCAACAUAUGCUGCUGUGCUGUGUAUUCCAGCUGUGACUGCAGCAGUGCUAAAUGUGUCUGCUUGAUGGAGAGCAUUAGCAGAACUCGGAUGUAGUCCAUCUAUUAGAUGGUUCUCCAGGAGGUGACAUUUCUGCACAGCUCAUCAGUGACAUCCCCUAUUCCCUCUCUUGGCCACAUUUGCAAGCUUCCAAACGUGUUUGUGAAUGUGACCAAAUUCUGGCCCUCGAGAUCAAAGGUCUGUCCACAUCUCUCUCUGGCACUACAGAUCUGGGAUGCUGCAAGCCAGUAUUCAAGAAUCCUGUCAAACUUGAGCAUAUCUGUGAUUUAUAAUGUAGAAAACCAUGUAGACUCUCAUCAUACACUUAGUACUCAACAGUCUACAGAAGCAGAACCUACCAAGAAAGCAAAUGUCAAAAAAGCAGCGUGAGCAAAGUUAAGAAUCUUCCACGUAAGGGGAUAUGUUUCUGGCUUGGAGCCAACCGGGGAGAAGAAGAAAUUCCUAAAUAUAGGAGCCCGGAAGGUGUGAAAGAACUGUUGGAUGCUGAAGUAUGUCAGGGACAAGAUUGGUGAUGAGUAAGAGCUUCCGCUGCUGGAAGCGGAGCGUGCUGGCAGGUAGCAGACUCCGUGAUCUUCUGAACAAGGAACAAAUCCUUGCUGAUCCUCCCCUAGUUGUGACAGUAAGUAUAAAUAUAUGAAAUCACCGAAAGAGGGAGUGAUGCUUGAGCACUCGUUUAAGAGUUCUGGCAACCUGACAGCAGUAAGCUCCACUUCCAAGUGAUGUAGAAGCAAUUUUCACUCUUGUGAAAACUCCCAUUUCUGAAAGUAGAUUGCCAAAAUAACUGAUGUUGAUCAUAUGGGACUGUGUGUCAUGCAUCGCAUAUAUCCGCUUAUUUGCUCUUUUUUGAUUUUGGUUUUGUUUAUCCAAAAAUAAUGGUAUCCUAUUGACAAAGGAUUCUUAUUUUUUUGUCAUAAGCACACAGCAAUACAGUGUUUUUUUCACACAGUACAGAGCCAUCCAUGUGUUUCUGUGUCAAGAAAUGCAGCGAUAACUUCUGCUCUGUCUGCUUACAGGAAUAGCUACUGCUUGAUGCCAGUCUGUAUUAUCUGCACUUCCCUCUGUCACUGAGAUGGGCUGGCUCAGCAGAACAAGUAUGAGCACAUAAGAGUGACAUUUUGUGUUUCUGAGGUAGUAAUAUCUUAAUUACUCUUAAAUCGUGAGCUUUUUGAGCAUUUUAUAUAUUGCAUAUACAUAUACAUUACCUAUUAUAUAUAAUAGAAGGGAAAGAUGAUUACAAGCACAAGAGAAGACACAUCACCUAAGAGUGCUGUAAGAAAAGAUCAGUGUGGAGGUAGAAACUCCUGUGAAGCUUACAGCAGGAAAGACCUGCCAUGGCCAAAUGCACAAGUUUGUUUCCCCUUAACAACUGUCAAUGGUUUUAAGAUUUUGAGAUGUAAUCAGUUACAGAGAUAACAAUCUCAAGGUAAAACAGAUACAGCUGCUGCCGUGGAACUAUCCUUUCAUUUCUUCCCCGUAUUCAGAGCAUUUUCAACAUUAAUUUUCACAUACACUUUAUGUCACAUAAUUUCUCUCUCAACAUUUAUUUAUUUGUACGUGAUUUUUAUGCUUACAGCUUACAAGCUAUCUGCCACAAAAGCUUUAAGAAUGCAGAAUGGAUUUCUCUACGGUCAUGAUCCGAAGGGAAUUUUAUCAGGGAGUUUCUGGGUUUGUUAUGGAGCAAAAGGUAAACAAAGGCACCUACAAGCUGGGAAGAUGGGCUUAGAUUUACCUGGGGCAGAUGGAUGCUGUCCUUACCAUGAACCCACGGCUCUUCUCUCCACCUGCAGAAUGUAUUUGUUCUUCUGUUGUACUGCACUUCUGCACUGAGAAUGAAGAGACUCAGUCCUGCUAAUAGACUGAGAAAAGAGAUUAAGCAUACAAGCUAAGGAUUCUGCAUAUUGAAAUACAGUAAAUCUGAAAAAUACUGGAAGACAUUGGUGGUUUGCUGGAGGUAAGGUUUAAUUUUGCACUGAAAAUACGGUAUUAUGGUAUGUAUUCUGCCCUAAAUCAUAGCAUUAGGCCUGGGAGUAUUAAACCAUUUUUUGGGAACUUACAGAUAGCAAUUUAUAAUUAGGGAUGAAUUAAAGAAGUCUAAUAGAGUACACAGAGAAACCCUGAAUGUAAAGUAAUAGGUUUUGGGGUUGUUGCCACAUUGUACUUUAAAUCCCUGCCAGAUAGUUUUGACUCGUAUUUUAACAUGAUUUGUUUGGAAAUAAACCAGAAAUUAGCAACACACUGCCAGGCUAUGCAGUAUUUCAGUCUGAAUGGUGUCCACUUACUUACAUUCUAACUUACAAUUUUCAUGUGGUCCUUUUCCUCAGAGUCAUGAACUAACGACUAAUUCACACCAUUAGCAUGUUGCCACUGCAAACUGGCAAUAAGAAGAAAAAAGAGGAAAAAUGCAGUGUGUAAAGAGCUUGCUCACUCGUCAGAGUUUUCAAUAUGAACAAUAUGCAACACCAAAUGUUCUGUGGUACAUCUUCACAAGUCUUAGAAAUGGGAGGCUUUGUAACAGCGUGCCUCCAUCCCUUUCUAGGAAGGGAAAGAACAACGCCAUUUUAUGCUUUAACAAGCUGUCAUAAUGGGUAAUGACUUCAUAAGAGCAUAUAGAGGAAGUGGAAUACGUACAUUUAAUCAAAUAAAAUUAGUGACUGUAUUUAGCUAUUCAGUGUAGUGCCUUCACGAAGGAUAGCGCUCAAUGGUGAGUCACACAAAUCCCAUGAAUGCUGUUGGCCGUGGGUACAGUAGAUACAGUGGGCUUGGUGAGUUCAUAAGAAGCCUCACAUUUUGCUCAUCAUUUAAGAUGAUGGGAGAGGAGGAACAAUUUUUUAGCAUCUUCAUCCUUCACCUCUAUGCAAAUUUACAAUUCAGCUGCACAUUUCCUAGCACUGAGAUGGGAAUGGCUUUGAAGGCCUACAUAGAAAGUGUCCUUCCUCGAAUAGAGUACCAUCUAACUUAAUGACAAACAUAUACAAAAAUGUAGAGUGCCUGUUUUAGUAAAAACACACUAUUUUUAAUGCAGAUCUUUGGCCAACUGAUCGGACCUCCAUCUAACUUCCUGAGGACAAUAUUCUUCUCAGGAGCUAUAUUAUUGUCUCUCAGGUUACCUGUCUAUUUCACUAGUGUAAGCUCCUCAGCAAUUUGGGCUGCAUCAUUUCCACAAUGCUUGCAACAGUUUGACCUACCAUCAUUUAUGCAAAAAGAUGUGCUUGAGCACUGGACUACAUCACAGAAAUCUGCAUUUUGUUCUUCCAUCUGCAGGUCACCUGGACAGGUACCUGGCAAGGCUAUCUCCCUGUGCCUCAGCUGCUUCACCUGCAAAGUGGGGAUAAUGACAUUCAGUCGCUUUUUAAAACCAUUUUAAGGUAUACAUAAUUAAUUGCUUAGCAGUGUGGAUUCUCCCUGGGGGAUAUCAUGCAGCUGCCAAUAAAUUGACUCAUCCACUUUCCUAUUACCGUUUUUAUUUAAACAUUCACUAUUUUUUUUUCCUGUGACAUAGCAAAACACCCAUUUUGCCAAACAGCAAUUGCAAGGAAGAUUUUAUCCAGCACAAGAGUAAUUAGAAUCGUGGAGAAGUGAUGAGAUUGCCAUCAGCUCUGAGCUUAAGGGACUGUCCUGUAUUUUAAGUUCAAGAAAUCCAAGCAGCAAAAAGAGUUUCCAGUUCAAGUCUGCCCUCCGCUGGCAUUAAUGAAACACUGCUAAUGAAUUUUGAAUCAAUAUUGUCUUUGUGUAACAAAGGAGGGGAACUAAAUCCAUAGAGGCUGACACAGAUGACACCUUUAGAUAACUUUAUUUUUUUUCAUUUUUUAUAAUAAAGACUUUGUAAAUAUCUUCUUUUAAAGGCUCAUGUAGGCUCACUGCCUGAUUCCUAUUCUUCAGGCUUUUGAAAGCCUGCCAGCAUUUCAUUCCCAUCAGACAGCUGCCAAAACUAACAUACACGCGAGAAGUAAUUUUCUGCACAUGUUUUUUAAGGGAUUUAAUAGAAAAGCUGCAGAAAAAUACUAUGCUAUGAUACAAUUAACAAUUCUAAUAUACUGUGCUAUACAUGUCAGCCCAGUAAUAACGUCAUAAAAGAGACCAGUGUCAGUCUAGUCUAGCAUUCUCUCACUACAAGCAAGUUUUCCUUCUGAUAUGUCAAAGACCAACUUGUUUAUUUUAGAGAGAACUUUCCAUCACAGAUCCCACAUGCAAUUAACAUGUCUCUUCACUCAGGAGGACUCAUUUUCUAUAUUUCAAGCAGGAAGGUAAUUGGAAAAUGAUACUUACUCACACGGAUUCACGUAGUACGAUUUCAAUCCCAAAGUGGCAUUUGUGUCUGGAAUAUAAAAUUUGUACUGCGAUGAAUUGGGAGAUAAGGCACCUCUGCUUCAUUUUUCUUGUCAUCCUCACGCUUCGUUAUGCUUAACUGCAUUUAAUCUCCUGCGACUGCUACUUAAGCCUAAAACGAAGGAGUAAAAUGCAAUUUUGUUGGAUGUACAGCUAAUGCACACUCGAAUAAAUGUGAAGAAAAAAUGUAUUAGAGAACAAUAAUUUUAUUUUGGCCCUUUGAAAGCCUGAAAAUCAGGCUCAGAUUUGUAGUCUGUGCCAAGUAUGACUAACAGACUUCAUAAUGCAGAGCACAAGGAAUUUUCAAAAGUUGCUUGAACGUCCUAUCCAUCUGAUAAAAUUACUGCAGAAAUGACUAUGUGACUAUGAUUGAAAAUAAAAACUUCAGGAGUACAUAUAACAUUCCAUAAGAAGCAGUGAAAGGCACACAGCAAAUCUGUUGUUACCUCUUUUCUUCUUCUUUAGGCAGGAAGCUAUGCCAAAGUCUACUCAAAUCCCAUUAAUUAGUGCCAUAUGCACAGUUGCUACAAAUCAUCCUCCUCAACUGGACUGAAAAAAUAGCCCUUGUAUCCAGAAUGUCUCGAUUUUGCCCUUGUAGAUCAGCUAUAGGAGCUUUUUAAUAAUCCCAAGUGAAAAGCAACAGCAAUGGCACACUGAAACACCAGUGAGUAAUUUGCCAAAUGGUGACAGUACUCAAUGCAUUACUGGAAAGAGUCUAAAAGAACAUUACAGAUAAGUGUUUCGGGCUGUCAGUAUGUCAGUGCUGAGAGGAGAUGCUUUGAAAAAAGGAAGAUGUGUAUGAAUUUUAAUUACAAUUCUUAUUUUUCAGAUGCUCCACUUCCGUGUUCUGUAUCAAAGGGAAAUACUUCACUUUCAUAUACACUUUUGCGUAACUGAUGACAAAGUCCUUACAUUCUCUGCUUUAAGACUGCUGUUUCUCCUUCACCGGCUUCAGGAGCUGGAAUGAAAAAGAACAUCAUUAUUGCGUUUGCUCUCAAUGCCAUAUUAAAUCUCAAUCCUCUCGUCCCCCAGUCUGCAUGUACAGCCAGGAUGGCCCCAGCCCAGGUACAGAAUGCAGCGCUUGCUCUUGUUAAACUUCAUGUGGUUGAUUAUUGCCAGCCCUUCAAUUUGUUGAGAUCUCUGUGCAAGGCAGAUAUCCAAUACCCUACAGUGGUACAGCCAAUUGAGUAUCACAAAGAAAAUCAUAUGAAAGAGACAGUAAUCAAGACCGAAAUAAAUGCAUAUGCAUCUCUGCUCUGUAUUUCAAAUAUGUUUUGAAAACACGCUACAUUAAGAAACCCAAACACAUUUCAAUUCAAGUAAUGUUGCUUUUACAACCAUCGAGAGAAAAUGAGAUGUGGUAGAACUCUGCCACUUCCCAAGCAGCACAAUCACACAGCCUUAGUCUUUUUCUGGCUUCAGUAGUGCUUUCCAUUUCUAUUGAUCUCUGUGAAAUGUGGUCUCUACAAACGGAAAAGGCGCAUUUCCCAGACCAGUGGUGCUGCAGAGUAGCUGGGAUCUAUUAAAUGAAUGGGAAUAUUAAAAUGGAAUGGAAGAAAAGGACCAUCCUUACAAGUGCACAAUAGAUGGUUUAACCAUCAUAAUUAAGUAAAAUGUGAAGUCCAGUCAUAACACACUACAGACGUGAGAAAUGAGAGCUAUCAAGGAGAGUUUCUGUUCUCUGAAAACAACUCCUUGAUAUGUGAAGGAAAGGAUGGAAGGAGGAGCACAGAUGGCACAUUCUUAGCAAAACCCUUUCUCAAGAACAUCCCUACUGAUGUAGCUAGUAACAGUUAAACUGGUUUAUACCCGAAGAAUACAGAGCUGUUCAAUCAUUUGGAUCAGCUUAGUACACUCGACCUUAUGAAUCCUACUUACACCACAAUUGCCUAAAAUUGAAGAAAACAUCUCCUCAGAGGCAAAAAGUGGAAAGAUCUAAGUUUUCUUAGUGCCAUGCAAUGGGUAUGGCAGUCACAAAGGAACUGACACGUGGCAUGGUACAAAAUGAUACACGAUCUUUAAAGAGUAUUUUAUAAAGGCUGUUCUUGGGAGGGAAGAUGCCACUUCUAAGUUGAACAUGAGAAGCCAUUACUGACGAAUGUGGCAUUUGCACCAUGAUAGUUCAGAACAAUGGGAAAUCUGUCACUUGGAAUGUUUGCACAAUUCUAUGCACUAAUACUGCUUUGAAAGGUUUGGCAACAGUGACAGGCAAAAAAAGAAGGAAAGUUAAUGUAAACCUAUCAACAGAAGGAUUUGUUACUUCAAAUUAACAACUGGAUGAAGCUCUGACCGUAACAUUAUAUUGGGAACAAUUUCUCUUUUUGAAGUGCAAUGAAGUACGAAUUAUCAGUAUCUUUCUACCUAUCCCAGCAGCUCACCUGCUGCAGAAAGAGUUGGUUGUUGGCAAUCCUCAUCAAGCAUAACUAACAAAGUCAAUUGACACAACAAGUUCUACGGCUGGCAUUAUUUGGAGAAUGUUUUGUUGGCCCCUAGUGCCUGAGGAUGUAUGAAGGCAUACUCUUUUUGAGCACAUGUAGACUCACAGUCCCUUCAUGCUGGUGUUCACCUACAGACCUAUGACAUUGGCACCUAACCCCAACAGGGAUACGCCGUUCAGCUGACAAAGAAGCUACUCAUGGACUCUAAGCCUCAGCUUUACCUGUUAGACAUCAUUAGAUAUAUAACCACGUGAUACCGACUUUUCCCCUCCUGUUUAAUGCAUAGGAAAGCACAGCACAUAUGCACUGGAUUUCAUGAACAAAGGCUGUUUGUGCAUUCUAUACCCUGACAUGCAGCAAGGCUGUCAUCCCAUCACCAAGACACUCCUGUGUCCCCCACACUUGGACUAUUGGUAGAGAGUGGCGAGGUGGCUGCAGGACACCAGGAUCGCUCACGUGGCUUGUAGGUUGUCACCUGUCCAUAUCUGAGAAGCAAGGAGCAAGCCACGAACUUCCAUCUUCAUCAUCUCUUAGGGGCAGAACAUGCAUCUGUGUACUGGAGGAAUAAAUAUGGAAAAAGCUUUGUAAG